rnacentral:lncRNA from 1 species
UUUGUUAUGAGAAAUGGAAGUCAAAUUGUAACUCUAAUCUACUUGAAAAGUUUAUGCAAUAUAAGGCAGAAUGCAGUUUUCUCAAAUUGGAAGGCAGAAUGCAGUUUUCUCAAAUUGGAAUGCUAUGUUGAUAAAGUUUUGCACUAUUUUCCAUGAAUUUCUCAUCUUGUUGACUUUGACAUAUGAUAUGUGUAUUUUGGAAAUGAAUUCAAAUAGUUUCAAAUGAUGUGCAUUUACAUUGAAUUAAUGAUACUUGGCCCUGGUAAACGUAAUAGGAGUCGAGGUUAGCUUAAAGGUAUGACAUGCCAUAUAAACAUACAGAGUUCGCAGUACUGCUACCGAUACAUGAUCUAUAUUUGAGGUUACAUAUCAGGUACCUCAUAAGUACGGCCACAAAGCCCUGCUAUCACAUUUUUGGCCUUUGAGCCUACCGUUCGGCACCCUGUGCCUACCGUUAUAAUUCCUUAUCUACCUAGUCGACCCUACUAUGUGGUUAUAAGGGCUAAGGACCUAAUUAAGGUUGAUACUUGUUUUGUGAAAUUAUCAGUGAAUAUUAACAACUUUUGAUUAGCUUGAAAUUGUUUACUUGAUUAUCUGUAUAAGUGAACUUGUUUGCUUUAUUUUGUUAUUUGUUUUCUAUCACCCACUGAGCAUUACCUCAGCGUGUUGGUUCUUAUCUCACGCAGGUUGUAGAUAAAGUAGAUACGCGAAGUUCAUCAGAGGUCUACAUCAGAUAUCAAAGCCAUUAUCAUAGCUGGUUGUUUUAAGUCUCUGAGUCAUAGUACAUUUAUAUUUUGGCAUGUACAUUUUUAAUAGAGUGAGUUGUAAACGAGUAUGUAAAUCAAGGAAUAGUAAGAUAUCAAAUGCCAGUUGUUAGUGUAAUUAUCAAUGUGAUUUUCAUAUGUAUUACAGGUUAAAGUGCUUAUGAAAUAGAGGAAAUUCUGCCAAAAUAAAUUUCGGUUUAAAAUCUCACAGUUACUUUAUUCACCUUAUAAAAAUUGCUCGGACUACCUAAAACUUGGUAUUUACAGAUAAAGAAAAUUGUUUAGUCUGGAUAUAUCAAAAGAGGCAUAGUUUGUGAUAUUCCUUGCUCUGUCUACACUUUGAUAGGGUAAGGGGUGUUACAAUUAGUGGUAUCAGAGCAAAGGUUUAGGUGGUUCUAGGUCAUAGUAUGUAUGUGUAUAUGCAUAGUAUAUGUACAUGCCAAAAUGAGUUAUAGCUAUGAUAUGGUUCUGAUGUAAAUCUCUUUCUUUAUGUCUUUAGGUCUGAUAGAAGAUGUUAUCUGAGUCACAGAGAGCAAUAGAUGAAGAGGUAGAGAGUCAUGCUCCCUCUGAGGCAGCUGCACCUGCUGCUACUCCUCCACCUGUUGCUGCUGGCGGACCAGGGCAGGAUGCAUUGUUUCAGCAAAUAGCUGAGUUGCUUAGGAGGGUUACCCAAAAUGUGCCAGAGGUACCACCACAACCACCUGUAGCAGUUGAAGUUCCCCCACCUGUUGUAGCCCAGGCACAAUCUAGGCCUCCAAUAGAAAAACUCAGAAAAUAUGGUGCUAUAGAGUUUAGGAGUAAAAAGGAAGAUGAUCCUUCAGCUGCAGAAUUCUGGCUAGAAAGUACAGAAAGGGUUUUACAGCAGCUAUAGUGUUCACCAGCAUAGAUCUUAAUGUGUGCAGUAUCAUUGCUAAAGGAUGAAGCCUAUAGAUGGUGGACAACAUUAACACAGAUGGUUCGACUAGAGCGGCAGACUUGGAAAUUCUUUUUGGCAAAGUUUAAGAAGAAAUAUGUUGGGGCCUUAUAUAUAGAGGAGAGAAGAAGGGAAUUCUUAUAUCUCAGACAGGGCAGGCUUACAGUAACAGAGUAUGAGCGAGAAUUUGUCCGACUUAGUAAGUAUGCCACAGAGAUAGUUCCUACAGAGGAAGAGAGAUGUAAACGCUUUGAGCAAGGAUUACAUGCUGAUAUCAGGAUGUACCUCACAGCUAUGCAUAUCAGGGAACUUUCAGUUUUAGUAGAGACAGCCCACAGCCUGGAGUGAAUUAAAGAAGAAGAGCAAAGUAGAAAGCAUAAAGGGCAGCAGAAGAGGAGCCAGAGCCAGUAUCAGGGACAGUCCUUUGCAUCACAGACAACUAGUAAGAGACAGAGGGAAUUUCAGUAGACAGGGCAGAGAGGGCCGCCUAGGCAGAUUCAGAGACCUGGGCAGAGUUCAGUAGUGAGGUCUGGACAGCAAACUACCUCAGUAUCUAGUACAGGAGGACCAGGUAGAGGGUUGCCACCAGUAUGUGAGCAUUGUGGCAGGAGACAUGGCGGAGUAUGCAGGAGAUUAACUGGGGCUUGCUACUUAUGUGGAAGCUCAAACCACUUUAUGAGGGAUUGUCCUAGAGGCCAGUCAGUGCAGCCUAUGCAAACAGAGAGAUCUAUGCCGACAGGGUCUAGAGGCAAAGGUAGAGGUAGAGGUGAAUCUAGUAACGCUCAGAGUCACAGAGUAUCAGAGACAAUAGACAGACCAGACACUAGAGCACCUGCCAGGGCAUAUGCUAUUCGUGCAAAUGAAGACCAAGACAAACCAGAUGUUAUAGCUGGUAAAUUUUCUAUCUUUGGCAAAUAUGUUUAUGCAUUAAUUGAUCCUGGUUCCACACAUUCAUACAUCAGCAUACCCAUCAGUAAUUUGAAGGGAAUUCAAGUAGAACCCUUAGAACAUGACAUAGCAGUGACCAAUCCCUUAGGAAAUCUUGUGAUUGUGAAUAGAGUUUAUAGAGAUUGUCCUAUAUGUAUGCAAGGUCAUACCUUUUUAGGUGAUUUGAUAGAGUUACCUUUUAGAGAGUUUGAUGUGAUUUUGGGUAUGGAUUGGUUGUCUAGACAUCAUGUCAUAGUUGACUGUAAGUUAAAGCGAGUCACACUCAAAACAUCAGAGGGUUCUGAGGUUAUAGUUGUGGGUGAGAGGUCAGAUUACCUCUCUAAUGUCAUAUCUGCCACUACAGCUAGGAGGUUGAUUAGAAAAGGCUGUACAGCCUAUCUAGCUAGUAUGAUUAAAACUAAGAAGAAAGGUCCAAGUGUGUCAAACCUACCCACAGUAUGUCAUUUUCUAGAUGUAUUUCCUGAAGAGUUGCCAGGGUUACCUCCAGAAAGGGAAGUGGAUUUUGCUAUAGAAGUUGUAACAGGUACCGCACCUAUUUCAAUUGCUCCUUACAGAAUGGCUCCUACAGAAUUAAAAGAGUUGAAAAUACAGUUACAAGAGUUACUUGAUAAGGGCUUUAUUCGACCUAGUGUUUCACCAUGGGGUGCACCAGUGUUAUUUGUAAAAAAGAAAGAUGGAUCUCUUCGGUUGUGCAUUGAUUACAGAUAGUUGAAUAAGGUAACUAUAAAGAAUAAAUAUCCACUGCCCAGAAUAGAUGAUUUGUUUGAUCAGUUAAAAGGGGCCAGCAUUUUCUCUAAGAUAGAUUUGAGAUCGGGCUACCAUCAGUUGUGAGUUAAAGGGGCAGAUGUGCCUAAGACUGCAUUCAGGACACGAUAUGGACACUAUGAGUUCCUGGUUAUGCCAUUCGGGUUAACAAAUGCACUACAUCAUUCAUGGAUAUGAUGAACCGUAUCUUCCAUCCAUAUUUAGACCAGUUUGUUGUAGUAUUCAUUGAUGAUAUUCUGGUAUACUCUAAAACUAAGGAAGACCAUGACAGGCAUCUGAGGGUAGUAUUGCAGACUCUGAGGGAAAAGCAACUUUCUGCUAAGUUCAGUAAAUGUGAUUUUUGGCUCAAUGAAGUAACAUUUUUGGGACAUGUUGUAUCAGCAGAGGGAAUCAGAUGGACCCACAGAAGAUUAAAGUUGUUCUGGAAUGGAAGCCACCAAAGAAUGUUGCAGAGAUCAGGAGUUUCUUGGGUCUAGCUGGGUACUAUAGAUGGUUUGUGAAAGGGUUUUCACUUAUAGCAGCUCCAUUGACUAAAUUAUUACAUAAGAAUGUUAAGUAUGUUUGGGAUGAUAGAUGUCAGGCAAGCUUUGACAGAUUGAAGACUAUGCUCACCGAAGCACCUGUACUUACACAACCUGUUUCUGGUAAGGAAUUUGUGAUAUAUAGUGAUGCUUCUCACAAUGGACUUGGAUGUGUUUUGAUGCAAGAAGGUAAAGUGAUUGCCUAUGCUUCUAGACAACUGAAGCCACAUGAGAAGAACUAUACUACUCAUGAUCUAGAGCUGGCUGCCAUAGUUUUUGCACUAAAGAUAUGGAGGCAUUACUUAUAUGGUGAGAAAUGUUACAUCUAUACAGAUCAUAAAAGUCUAAAAUAUUUACCCACACAGAAGGAGCUAAACUUGAGACAGAGGAAAUGGCUGGAGUUACUAAACGAUUAUGAUUGCAUUAUAGAUUAUCAGCCAGGCAAAGCUAAUCUCGUAGCAGAUGCACUCAGCAGGAAAUCCUUAUUUGCAUUAAGAGCAAUGAAUGCACGAUUGACUAUGGCAAAUGAUGGAGCUAUCAUAGCAGAAUUGAAAGUUAGACCCAGCUUACUACAACAGAUUAAAGAAGCACAGAAAGAAGAUACAGAGAUAGCUUUAUGGACUAGAAAAGUACAAGAGGGGAAGAAGCAGAAGCAUGUGAUAAGUGAUGAUGGCUACUUGUACUAUGGUAAUAGAAUAUGUGUACCUAAUGCUGGAGAGCUGAAACAGAGGAUUCUUACAGAGGCACACAACAGUCCAUAUGUUAUGCAUCCAGGUAGCACUAAGAUGUAUCAAGAUUUGCAGCCUAUUGCUAUACCAGAAUGGAAAUAUGAUAGAAUUACCAUGGAUUUUGUGACAGGAUUGCCACUCACACCAAGGAAGAAAGAUGCCAUCUGGGUAAUAGUUGACAAGUUAACUAAAUCAGCGCAUUUCUUACCAAUCAGAAUGGAUUAUACAUUAGAAAAGUAUGCAGAAUUGUACAUUAAUUACUACAUAGUGUUCCUAUCUCUAUCAUAUCAGACAGAGAUCCAAGAUUCACAUCCAGAUUCUGAGAAAAACUACAUGAAGCUUUACGGACAAGAUUGAAUUUUAGUACAGCUUUUCAUCCUCAGACAGAUGGCCAGUCAGAGAGAGUGAUUCAAGUUUUGGAAGAUAUGCUCAGAAGUUGUGUAAUUGAAUUUGAAGGAAGCUGGGAAAGAUAUCUCCCACUAGUAGAAUUUGCUUACAACAACAGUUAUCAGGCUAGUAUUAAAAUGGCUCCCUAUGAAGCAUUGUAUGGCAGAAAAUAUAGAACCCCAUUAUGCUGGACAGAACUUAGUGAAGCUAAACUUGUAGGUCCAGACUUGAUAAGACAGACCGAGGAGAAAGUGAAAAUUUUCAAAGAAAGAUUGAAAGCUGCAACAGAUAGGCAAAAAUCCUAUGCAGAUUUGAAAAGAAAAGAUAUAGAAUUUGUUGUUGGGGACAAAGUGUUUCUAAAAGUUUCUCCGUGGAAGAAAGUGCUAAGAUUUGGCAAGAAAGGUAAGCUAAGCCCUCGGUUUAUUGGUCCAUAUGAAAUAGUUGAGCGUGUGGGUCCAGUAGCCUACAGGCUAGCUUUACCUCCAGAGUUAGACAGAAUACACAAUGUCUUCCAUAUAUCCAUGUUAAGAAGAUACAGAUCUGACCCGUCACAUGUCAUUUCAGCAGAAACCAUUGAUGUACAAGCUGAUUUAACUUAUGAAGAAGAACUAGUGAAAAUUUUAGCAAGGGAAAUGAAAGAGUUAAGAAAUAAGAAGAUUCCCUUAGUGAAAGUGUUGUGGAGAAAUCACAAGGCAGAAGAAGUUACAUGGGAGAGUGAAGAAGUGAUGAAGCAACAAUAUCCACAGCUGUUCAAAGCAGGUAAAAUUUCGAGGACGAAAUUUCGUAAGAGGGGAAGAGUUGUAACAUCCUUAAAUCCAUAGCUAGAGUAGUGCCAUCACAAGGUAGGGUUAGGCUAUUUUACAACUAGAGUAAGUGGCAUUAGGAGAGGUGCUAGCUUAACUCUAAGCUGCUAAUAAUUGAAUCAUAGAAAACUCAAAUAAAGAAACGAACAUAUCCAGAAAUGAAGUAGCUAGUGUGAUUAGUGAGUCGGGAACGAGUCACUUUUGGGAGGUGCUUAGGGUUUCCCGACGUGCUUGCUUGAGGUGCUUGUUUAAAUCCGUCAUGCUUGCUUAAGUGAAAAGGACUUCUAAAAGGCUAAAUAUAUGGUUUAGUAGGUCAAUCUAUGAUUCUUGAAAGUUUAAAAACUAAAUUGAAACAUGGUAAAGAGUUUAGUAGGUUAAAGUGUAAAUAUGGAAAGUUAAAACAUAAAAUUAAGUUUAUUUCCAUGUGUCACCUAACUAAGGAAAGGAGAAAUGAUAAAGCAAAAUGAAAAAGGGAUUAUCUUCUCCACCAUUUCACUUUGCCAUAGCUCCCACCAUUGAAAACCAAAACUUUAUUUUGUCUUCCUUCCAUCAAAGCCAAGCUAAAUCUCACCCAAUCAACUUCUUGCUUUAAUUAAAAUUUAUCCUAAGACCAAGAGCUAAAGGAACAGCCAUAUAUUGAAGGGAUUGAAGAAGAAAAGUUUAGGGUUCCAUAUGCACCAAGUUUGAAAAUCAAAGGUAAGCUUACAAAAGUGUAGGAAAUAACAUCUUCUCAUUUCUUCAUGCAUGAAUUUGAAUUAUAAAGCUUUAAUUUAAAACUUAUUCAAUCAUUUUCUAAGACAUAAAUUGACCUAGGUGAAGGAACAUCAAAGGGAAAGGAGAUAGCUAGAGAAUAGAAUAGGAAAAGAAAGAGGAAUUCAAGAAAGGUUUGGUGUUUGAAUGAUUUUCUGUUUUCCUAGAAUUUUAUCAUUAAUAUAUGAAGUUGGGAAUUGAUUUUACUUGCUGGAAAUGUUGUUUUGAUUGUAUAAAUAUUUUAUAUAAAUGUUAAAGUGGUGUUUGAAAGGCUUAGAGUAAAGAAAAUUUAACAUGAGAGCUAAAAGUGCAAACCUGGCAGAAUAGGUUGUAACAGGGCAGCUUAUAUUGACAACUUCAUAACUUAUUAUGUAUUUAUUAAAAUUAGACCUAAAAUAUACCAAAUAAAAGCUGAGAUAAAGAUCUAAAAUUUUCAUGAAUUAACCAAAUUCUGAGUCUAUAGGUAAGAUGAUGAAAAUUUCAAGUGAACCUAAACUGGACACAAAGUUAGUGCAUUUGGAACAGUGUGUAUUGAUUGUACCAUAAUUAAUUAUGUACUCAGUGAAAUUUAUUUAAACAAGUGCCAAAUGAAUCUUAAGAAAUAUACCUAAAACUUUAUAGAAGACACUUAAGCUUAAAUUUGUAUGAAAAUGCAUGAAUCUGAUAUGUUUUGUGAUACUAUAAACAGGUACCAAUACUGGACUGUUUAAUAUCUUAUUGAGCAGCUUGUAAAGAAAAAUUCAUAACUUAAGUUAGAGUAUUCAGAAUUGCAUGAACCAUACCUUGUUGGAAAGAUAAGACAUAAAUGUACAUUUGUUAUAAGAAACUGAAGUCAAAUUGCAACUCUAAGCUACUUAAAAAGUUUAUGCAAUAUAAGGCAGAAUGCAGUUUUCUCAAAUUGGAAGGCAGAAUGCAGUUUUCUCAAAUUGGAAUGCUAUGUUGACAAAGUUUUGCACCAUUUGCCAUGAAUUUCUCAUCUUGUUGACUUUGACAUAUGAUAUGUGUAUUUUGGAAAUGAAUUCAAAUAG